GAUGAACGCUGGCGGCGUGCCUAAUACAUGCAAGUCGAGCGAACGGACGAGAAGCUUGCUUCUCUUAUGUUAGCGGCGGACGGGUGAGUAACACGUGGAUAACCUACCUAUAAGACUGGGAUAACUUCGGGAAACCGGAGCUAAUACCGGAUAAUAUUUUGAACCGCAUGGUUCAAAAGUGAAAGACGGUCUUGCUGUCACUUAUAGAUGGAUCCGCGCUGCAUUAGCUAGUUGGUAAGGUAACGGCUUACCAAGGCAACGAUGCAUAGCCGACCUGAGAGGGUGAUCGGACACACUGGAACUGAGACACGGUCCAGACUCCUACGGGAGGAAGCAGUAGGGAAUCUUCCGCAAUGGGCGAAAGCCUGACGGAGAAACGCCGCGUGAGUGAUGAAGGUCUUCGGAUCGUAAAACUCUGUUAUUAGGGAAGAACAUAUGUGUAAGUAACUGUGCACAUCUUGACGGUACCUAAUCAGAAAGCCACGGCUAACUACGUG
rnacentral:rRNA from 1 species